rnacentral:lncRNA from 1 species
UUAUUAUUAUUAUUAUUAUUAUUUAUUUAGAGCAGUCGAGACAACCAACAUAAAAGAAAAAGGAUGCCUGGUGAUAAUGCUGCAAUUUGAUUUGAUUUUGAGUGAAACAAACAGCGCAGGGAGAGGCAACGACGGUCAGAGUGGUCCUUUGCUAAAACAUCGUUCCAAGUACACCCGACAUCAUACAUACUACGUGUGUAAUAAUUGUUUUUGGCAGAAAGCAUGUUCAUUUUUUGGGUAUGUUUUUGCUCGCAAGCUGUCGUGAUUGUUUC